rnacentral:lncRNA from 1 species
GAAAAAAAGAAAGAAAGAGGGAAGGAGGGAAGGAGGAGAGAAAAGAGAAGGAAAGGAAAGGAAAAGAAAAAAAACAUGCCAACAACCCUUAUCAAUUGAGACAAAGCAAGUCUGCCUCUGCCUGGAUUAAAGAAGAUGUGACCGAUGUGACCAGUAAGAGGACAUUUAUGGGAACACUAGUGAAGCCACAAAAGCAGCCUUAAGUUUGGUAUGCCCCUGACUGCAUUGGACACAGCAGCGGGACAGCUUCUAUCUGGGCUGAAACAGAGGCAGUAAAGAAACACUCCCAAGCCUCUCACUAACCAAGAUCAUGGUGAUACACCAUGGACGGCACUGGGGAGGAUGAAGCAGGAGAGUGGAAAGUUUUACAAACAAAAGCCUGACAGAGGGAAUUGAGCUAGCCUGGUGUGGACAAGGUUAUGACCAGGUAUGCAGGGUCUCAGUAAUCAGAACCACAACCUGACUAAAGACACACUUGGACUAGUGAGAAGGCUA